GUUCCCGCCGCAGGCACCGAGACGUCGCCCAGAUGGAAGAAACUCUGGAGAUGCGCGCUCCUACACCGGUGCCGCGGCGCCCGGGCCCAGCACCACGCACCUAUGCGCGCCUCUGCCGGUCCUCCUAGAAAUCCCGCCCUGCCUACCCGCGGCGCGAGACGCAACGACGCUUUCAGGGGUCAAAGACCUGGCAGAAAUGACUUCCCAACCCCAGAUGCCCCCAGCAGCAGUAUUUAGCAGUCAUACAAUUGCCUGAAAUGAAGAAUGAGUAAUCUGGAUGAGUCGGCCCUGAAAUCGACCUGCAACUUACCCGGAACGUGAGCUGUCUCUCUCUGACCUCUGCUGGCUGCUUCACCUGGAGUCUGAGUCCGACUCAUGUAGCACUUCACUGUCCGCGUUAGUUUAGCCUUCACUGUCAGCAACUCGUCACCUUGUCCUCUUGCAGCGAAGGUUUGGAAUCCCAUCACGGGUGUGCAGUGGUUAGUCCUGAGAUCAUGGUGGUGCUAGGAGAACCUGCCAACCAAUACAGAAAGUUGUCACGAAUAGAAACCUAAGCUCUGGCCGGGUGCGGUGGUUCAAGCCUGUGAUCCCAGCACCUACUUUGGGAGGCCAAGUCGGAUGGAUCACUUGAGGUUAGGAGUUCGAGACCAGCCUGGCCAACAUGGUGAAAGCCUGUCUCUACUAAAAAUAUAAAAAUUAGCCGAGCGUGGUGGCGGGUGCCUGUUAUGCCGGCUACUAGGGAGGCUGAAGCAGGAGCAACCCGGGAGGCGGAGGUUGCAGUAAGCCGAGAUCGCGCCAUUGCACUCCAGCCUGGGCGACAGAGCAAGACUGUCAAAAAAAAAAAAAAAAAAAAACAGAAAGGAGAAGAAGGGAAGGAGGGAGGGAGGGAGGAAGGCAGGCAGGCAGGCAGGAAGGAACCCAAGGGAGGGAGGGAGGGAAGAAGGAAGGAAGGAAGGAAGGAACCUAAGCCAAGGAAGGAAGGAAGGAAGGAAAGCAAAGAAAGGAAGGAAGGAAGGGCGAAGGAAGGAAGGAAUCUAAGCCAAGGAAGGAAGGAACCUAAGCCCAGGAAGGAAGGAAAGAAGGAAGGAAGGAAGGUAGAAGGAAGGAAGGAACCAAAGCCAAGGAAGGAAGGAAGGAAAGAAAAGUAGAAAGGAAGGAAGGAAGGAAGGAACCUAAGUCCCAGAAGGAAGGGAGGGAGGGAUGGAGGAAGGAAGGAAGCUAAGCUCUCUCUCGCGGUGCCCUGACUUCUCCCGGGGAAGGACCUCUGAGCUGCCUGCACUGGUAAUGACACGUAGGUGAACCGGUCCUGGCUUUCUUAGAAGAUUCCCUGCUGCAUAAAACCAAAUCCCGUUGCACUUUCCUGGGUUCCUUGGCUUUGUCCUUUGUCAUUUCCAGGAUGGAGCAGAGGCACUGGUAAUUUGGCUUUUACUUGCCUGGUACCUCUGGCAUGGAGUGGCUAAACGGUGGCACCAUGUACUAGUUGCUGCCAUCUUCAGAUAAAAUAUUGAAUCAAUAUGACAAAAGUCAGAUGAAUACUAGCUGCCAAUUACCCUGCUUCCCUUGGGGGCAGCCUGUUUGGAGCAUAGACCAGCUUUGACCUGCAAGAACUCUGGAUAUUUGGAAUAUUUAAAAUUCCAAAUACAGUAUCCCAGGAAUUCAGGUCAGCUGAAGGCCGAUUGGGAAGGGCUUACCUUAAAUGAAUCAGAAAGAAAAAGGUGUGGGUGUGUGCUAACAUUUUUUGAGUAUCGGCUAUGUGCCAGGUACUUUUUCUUAUUAUUUUAAGCAAGUCUGUGAACAUCCCUGAGAAUAACAAAUCAUUUGUUCCCAUUUCGCAAGGGGGAAAUCUAUGACUUAGGUUCAAAUAACUUGCCCAAGGUCACAGAGCUAAUAGGUAGCACAGUUAGGCUUUGAAGGCAGGUGUAUCUGACACCAAACCCUAUGUCCAAUUUCCACCAUACUACCAGCAAGAUGGAAGAAUAAUGAAAUAAAGGGACCAGGCAAGAGCCAGUUUCAGGAAUACUUAAAGGGAAAGAGGAGUCAGGAGGAACUUAGAGAAAGAAUCUUGAAACAAGAGGAAAUGUCAUGCCAGGUAAAUCAGUGAGUCAAAAACCAGAAACAGCUGUACUAGUUGGCAGACUGGACAUAGUCCAAGGCAAGAAAAUCGUUUUUGUAGGGAGAUUAGGAUAUUUUGGACCAAGAUUGUGGGCUUUAGUCAUCCCCUCUGAAGCCACUCUGAAAUCACCUUUCUCAAAACUGCCAUAAGGCAGGCCUAGGCACUAUCACGUGGACAUCCUACUAACUCUGAGUAUAGACCUUCUACAUCUCGUCACAGACGCAGGAGGUUCACAUUCUGAAAGAGCAUCUCUAGGACUAAGGAGAAACAUUCAAGGACAGGUUUUUCAAGUUAGGAAUGCUCACUGGAAAUCUGCUCUGUCCCCUCUGGGAUCUGGAAGUAGAAUUUCCCAAGCACUAAAUGCUGAGGCGUGGACUUUCCAAGAAUUUCCUGAUUGGUUAAUUCUGAGAAUGUCACUGAUCAUUACAGACGGAUCACCAUGCAGGAAAAGGAGAGGCUGGUUUGGGUUUUUUCAUGGGGAAGGUGAACUUCCAGAUCACAGUGCCCUCCAAGACACAGGGCUUGAAAGUCAUGAGUGUCAGGGACAACUCACUGUGUCAGCUAGCCCAGCCGGGCUCAUGCCCAGCACCCAUUGAUCACACACAAAGCUCCAUUGUGGCCAGGAUAGCCUCAUAAAAGACCGAAAGCCUAGCAGCUGCCUGCCAAAACCCAGCCAGGCUUCACAAGAAGUGAUUUGUGCUGUGAGCAGAGCUUUGACCCCAGUUUUGAACUCAGCUGACAGUCAGCAAAGGGGAAACCAGUCUCUGUACAAAACAGGAAGGAAAUGAGAUGAAAUGAACUGCAUUAUAAGCUACCAGAGGGUGCCUAAUGGCAUCUUCACCACAUAGAAGUCCCAGGAAGAAAGACUGAUGAUUUUGCAUGGGAGAGAAGCCCAGACAAGCACCAGGGAAGGAAAGAACCGAGGAAAGCUGCAUUUGGCUUGGCUGUUUCUCUUCCUCCUUGCCUGACUUAACAGCCACUGUCUGCAAAAGGACACAUCUGUGUGAACCCACUUGCAUGAGGAGCCUAGAAGAGACAAAUUCAUAGAGACAGAAAGUAGAACAGAAGUUGGCAGGGCCUGGCAGGAUGGGGAAUACAGAGUUAUUGCUUGAUGGACACAGAUUUUCUGUCUGGUUGAUGAAAAAGUUCUGGAGAGAGAUUGUAGUGAUAGUUGCACAAUGCUGUAAAUGUACUUAAUGCCACUGAAUUGUACACUGAAAAAUGGUUAUGAUAAUACAUUUUGUUAUAUUUUACCACAAAUAUUUAUGUGUAUGGUGUAUGUAUAUAUGUAUAUAUUAUUUAUAUAUUUUAUAUAUACAUAUAUAUGUAAAAAAUAUAAAUGUAUUAUCAUGAUGUAAUACUUCUUUGGAGUAAAAGCCCAGGUGAAAGCAAUCAGCUGACAGGGCCCCUACAUCUGGAAAUUCUUCACUUGAAUUUUUGUUCAUUUCUCUUUUUAAUUUUUAUUUAUUUAUUUUUGAGAUGGAGUCUCACUCUGUCACCCAGGCUGGAGUGCAGUGGCAUGAUCUCGGCUCAGUGCAACCUCUACCUCCCAGGUUCAAGCAAUUCCUGUGCCUCAGCCUCCCAACUAGCUAGGAUUACAGGCAUGCACCACCACACCCAGCUAAUUUUUGUAUUUGUAGUAGAGAUGGGGUUUCACCAUGUUGGCCAGGCUGGUCUCGAACUCCUGACCACAGGUGAUCUGCCUGCCUUGGUCUCCCAAAGUGCUGGGAUUACAGGUGUGAGCCACCACACCCAGCCUUUUUGCUUUUAAUUUUUUUUUUUUGAGACAGGUUCUUGCUCUGUUGCCCAGCCUGAGUGCAGUGGCAUGAUCAUGACUCACUGCAGCCUCAACCUCCCAGGCUCAGGUGAUCCUCCCACCUCAGCCUCCCUAAUAAUUGGGACUACAGGCAAACAGCACCACACCCAGCUAAAUUUUUUAAGUUAUUUGUAGAGAUGAGGGUUUCCCUAUGUUUCUCAGGCUGGUCUUGAACUCCUGGGCUCAAACAAUCCUCCCACCUUGGCCUCCCAGAGUGCUGGGAUUACAGGCAUGAACCACUACGCCUGGCUCUAUGAAUGUUAAUAAAUCUUUGCCAGGCAUGGUGGCUCACACCUGUAAUCCAAGCACUUUGGGAGGUGGAGGUGGGUGGAUCUCUUGAGGUCAGGAGUUCCAGACCAGCCUGGCCAACAUGGUGAAACUCCACCUCUACUAAAAUACAAAAAUUAGCUGGGCAUGGUGGCAGAUGCCUGUAAUCCCAGCUACUUGGUAGGCUGAGGCAGGAGAAUCGCUUGAACCCGGGAGGCAGAGGUUGCAGUGAGCCAGGAUAGUGCCACUACACUCCAGCCUGAGCAACAGAGCAAGACUCUGUCUCAAAAUAAUCAAAUAAAUAAAUAAAUCUUAAUUUAUUUUUCUUUCCAUUUAGGGGUGCCCAGGGCCCAGCUUUUGGGUUGUUGCAGCUCCUUAUUCAGAAGGAAGAGUAGUUCUGCCAUUUUACUCUCUGAUCCAGCUGGUGUUAAGUAGCUGGGGGUUUGUGGUGGCAUAGUCAGAGAUGUGGCCCUAAAAGGGACUCUUUACCUUUGAGGACUAAACUCAUUUUUUUUUCUUGCCUAAAUUCCUAUCUAAGCGGUCUGGGGAGUCAUGCCCUACAAAUCAUAAAUUCUCAUCAGAUGGGUUUUAUUUAACCCUGUAUGUCGUGACUUACUUUCCAAUCUGACUCUGGCAUAACAUCACGAGACAAGGAAGAAAAUCAAAAUAUUUUACCCCAAAACGUGUUUCUUUGCCAUAUUUUGAAAUGACCCUGCAAAGCUGUUCUUUGUGGGGGAAAAUUUACAUCUGUAAAAGAUCUCUAUUAAAAUAGCUAGAUCUUUUUCUUCCAGACCCUCCCAAUCUAAAGAGAUUAACUAGGAUCUGAAUAGGAAACAUUUGUCAUCUAUUGUCUCUAAGGGCAGACACUAUAAGACUUCAAAACAACUUUGGUCACCACAAUUUUUAUCUUAACCUGAACAUUCCCUUCUUAUGAAUCCCAGGUUUUUAGACAAACUCAAUCAAUUGUCAACCAGAAAAUGUUUAAAUUCCCCUAUAACCUGGAAGCCCCACCACCGCCGGCUUUGAAUUGUCCCGCCUUUCCGGACCAAACCAACUAUUUCUUCAGUGUAUUUGAUGGAUGUCUCAUGCCUCUCUAAAAUGUAUAAAACCAAGCUGGGCCCUGACCACCUUGGACACAUGUUCUCAGGACCUCCUGAGGGCUGUGUCACUGGUCAUGGUCACUCAUAUUUGGCUCAGAAUAAAUCUCUUCAAAUAUUUUA
rnacentral:lncRNA from 1 species